rnacentral:rRNA from 1 species
GAUGAACGCUGGCGGCGUGCCUAAUACAUGCAAGUCGAGCGAACUGAUUAGAAGCUUGCUUCUAUGACGUUAGCGGCGGACGGGUGAGUAACACGUGGGCAACCUGCCUGUAAGACUGGGAUAACUUCGGGAAACCGAAGCUAAUACCGGAUAGGAUCUUCUCCUUCAUGGGAGAUGAUUGAAAGAUGGUUUCGGCUAUCACUUACAGAUGGGCCCGCGGUGCAUUAGCUAGUUGGUGAGGUAACGGGUAACCAAGGCAACGAUGCAUAGCCGACCUGAAGGGGUGAGCGGCCACACUGGGACUGAGACACGGCCCAGACUCCUACGGGAGGCAGCAGUAGGGAAUCUUCCGCAAUGGACGAAAGUCUGACGGAGCAACGCCGCGUGAGUGAUGAAGGCUUUCGGAUCGUAAAACUCUGUUGUUAGGGAAGAAUAAGUACAAGAGUAACUGCUUGUACCUUGACGGUACCUAACCAGAAAGCCACGGCUAACUACGUGCCAGCCGCCGCAGUAA